CAGGGAUGAACGCUGGCGGCGUGCCUAACACAUGCAAGUCGAACGGAGCGCCCGGACGGAGUAUUUCGGUACGAAAGACCGGGUGGCUGAGUGGCGGACGGGUGAGUAACGCGUGGACAACCUGCCGUGUACAGGGGGAUAACAGCCGGAAACGGCUGCUAAUACUGCAUAUGCGCACAGUGCCGCAUGGCACAGGGCGGAAAGCCUAGAUCUUAUCUAGUACGGUACACGAUGGGUCCGCGUCUGAUUAGGUAGUUGCGGGGGUAACGGCCCACCAAGCCCACGAUCAGUAGCCGGCCUGAGAGGGCGGACGGCCACACUGGGACUGAGACACGGCCCAGACUCCUGCGGGAGGCAGCAGUGGGGAAUAUUGCACAAUGGGGGGAACCCUGAUGCAGCGACGCCGCGUGAAGGAAGAAGUAUCUCGGUAUGUAGACUUCUAUCAGCAGGGAAGAAAGAGGACGGUACCUGACUAAGAAGCCCCGGCUAACUACGUG
rnacentral:rRNA from 1 species